GUUUGAUCAUGAUUCAGAUUGAACGGUGUCGGCAGCAAUGACACAUGCAAGUCGAGAGUCAGUCGGAAUGUAUCUAGGUACUCUUGCCUGAGAGCGGCGUACAUAAUAGUCAUUCAUGAGAAAUAGAACAGUCGAGGGGGAUAGCUGAUGCAAAAUACUGUUUAUACUACAUAGUCCUUUAGGAAAUAAUCACGUGUCCUUGCGACCUAGCGCGAUUAGAUAUGUCCAGGUGGCAUUAGCUAGUUGGUGAGGUAAUAGCUCACCAAGGCGACGAUCCGUAGCUGUUCUGAGAGGAUGAUCAGCCACACUGGAACUGAGACACGGUCCAGACUCCUACGGGAGGCAGCAGUGGGGAAUAUUGCACAAUGGGGGAAACCCUGAUGCAGCCAUGCCGCGUGUGGGAUGAAGGUCUUCGGAUUGUAAACCUCUGUCAGAGAGGAAGAAAGGUCUGUAUUUAAUUUGGGUAGGCAGUGGCGUGUCUCGUCGAAGAAGCCCCGGGUUAAUUCGUUCCCACCACCGGGGUUAUUCGGAGGGGGCAAAGGUUUAUUGGAAAUUCUGGGGGUUAAGGGCCAGCUGGGGGUUGGAUAAAGUCAAGGGGAAAAUCCCGGCGUUAACCUGGGAAUCACCUUUUAAUCUGUCCUCAUAGGAUUAUGUGGAGGGGGGUAGAAUUUCCGGGGUAAGGAUGAAAAUCGGAGAAAUUUGGAAGAAUCCCGGGGGGGAAGGGGGCCCCCUGGGCAAAGAAUGACCAUCAGGUUGGGAAAGCAGGGGAGCCAUCAAAGGUAAAUUCCCUUGUAUUCCAACCUANAAGACCUGGUAGGAGGCUGUGUCGAUAGUCUCAUUCCGUAGUUAACGCGUUAAGCACCCCGCCUGGGGAGUACGGUCGCAAGGCUGAAACUCAAAGAAAUUGACGGGGGCCCGCACAAGCGGUGGAGUAUGUGGUUUAAUUCGAUGCAACGCGAAGAACCUUACCCAGGCUUGACAUCCAGGGGACCUCUAGGAAAUUAGAGGGUGCCCUUCGGGGAGCCCUGAGACAGGUGCUGCAUGGCUGUCGUCAGCUCGUGCCGUGAGGUGUUGGGUUAAGUCCCGCAACGAGCGCAACCCUUAUCUUUAGUUGCCAGCGAGUAAAGUUGGGCACUCUAGAGAGACUGCCCCGGUUAACGGGGAGGAAGGUGGGGAGGAUGUCAAGUCAUCAUGGCCCUUAAUCCUGUGGGUACACAUAUAGAUCAUUGCUGUGCACAAACAGAACCAAGCCAAUGAGGUAGUCCCAAUCGCAAAAAUCCAAUCUCACUAGGCCAGAGAGUCCCCAACUUUCCUCCAUGGAGUGUGAAU
rnacentral:rRNA from 1 species